CUAGAUUUCUCUCUCUCAUAUCGAGGUUUGGGACGCUCAGCAAUCCUGGCAAAAAAUGAAAAUCAUCUGGAAAAACUGCGUAAUUGGCUCAGCUCUGUGGAGCAAACCAAAACGUCGUACUGGAAACGCUGUUGGCGAGCAUCAGUGGAUGGUUGGCUCAGCACUACCUUCCACUCAUUGUGUGACAACAAAGGACCAACGAUAACCAUUAUCCGCGUGGGAAGAUACAUCUUUGGUGGAUACACCAGCACAUCAUGGACUUCCUCCAGUUGUGGAUACUACUACAGCUGAAGUGCCUUUUUGUUCUCAUUGCUUAACAAGGCAGGCUGGGGACCAAGGAAACUGCUUCAAACAGGGAAGUAUAGUUCUAAGCGAUAUUCCAUAUACAGUUGUUCAAGCCAUGGGCCCAGAUUUGGUGGAGGAGCCGAUAUUAACCUUGUCAACCCCACCUCAUCCAGCUCAAAUUCUAACUCAAACCUUGGAUACACCUUCCAGUCACCUUCCAGUCGGCAUGGUUACAGCAGCUCCUUCGCCAAAUCAUUCCUGGCAGGAAGUUAUUAUUUCCGACCCGACGAGAUUGAAGUGUUCUAUGAAACUAGUAAAUAAAGACUGAUAGUUUCGAAAGAAACUGUUUGCUCCGACGAAGGGCUAACGCUCGAAACGUCAGCUUUUGUAAUCGUUACGGUGGCCAAAAUACCAUUUCAGCUUUGUUGAUGUCUCCAAAUUAUUUCUAUGAAACUAACUGAACCGAACGAUCGGAAGGAACGAUGAUAUUCAAAACACUUAUUUACUGACAAUCGAGACAGACGUCUAUAUGCGGUUAUCGCCCACAGAUCAGUUUAGGUAAUAGCACUAUACUGUCUAGGUCGUUACAGAGAGAACACAAAUUGAUCAAGGUGACACUAUUGAGAACUCGUGAAUAGACUGCGUAGAAUAUGAUUUAUUAUAUAAACAUCAAUGACAACAGGUGAGCUUUCGCGCGGAAACGUGAUACCUUCACACGAAAAAAAAAACACCGUUAUGAUGGUUACAUGAUAAAUCGCUCCUUUCGCAGCAUAAGUUAAUCGGCUUGGUUUUUCAUUGGUGUUUGUAUGUAGAAUUUUACAUGGUCGCUUGGAUAUAUUAAGUACUUAUUGACAAAAUGGGAGAGCUAGACGGGAAACGGGAGUGCGCGAGAGGAGCUGGACGGGUCAAAUGAUAAAUUGGAAAUAUUUUUCAACACGAGAAGUAAAUUUCGUAUCUCUAAGCGGCCAUGUAAUAUCCUCUAUAUGAUACUGUGAACAAUAAGUAAAGUGACUGUACUAAACCGACAAUGAUCCUCUGAUUAAAAAAUCAGAAACAGAAUUAAGUUAUCAUCCUCAGAAAAGUCCUGCUCAGUUGGUCCGCCAUAUUUAAUCAUCAGUCCGCUAUUUUUUCUGUAAGGCUUCUUUGAGUCUGUGGUGGAACUAUUCAUUUACUGUUAUUGGCAAAAUGUAAGCCGAUGAAAAGUCGGAUACUUCAAAWWUAUUUAGGGUAAUAACAUCAAAGGUACAAUUAUACGAACAACGCAAAAUGAAUUCCAAGUUUGAAGGUGA